rnacentral:rRNA from 1 species
UACGGAGGGUGCAAACGUUGCUCGGAAUCAUUGGGCGUAAAGCGCACGUAGGCGGUUCGGCAAGUCGGAUGUGAAAUCUCCACGCUUAACGUGGAGGGGCCAUUCGAAACUGCCGUGACUCGAGUCCGGUAGGGGAGUGUGGAAUUCCUGGUGUAGCGGUGAAAUGCGCAGAUAUCAGGAGGAACACCAAUUGCGAAGGCAGCUCGCUGGGACGUAACUGACGCUGAGACGCGAAAGCGUGGGGAGCAAACA